rnacentral:rRNA from 1 species
GACGAACGCUGGCGGCGUGCCUAACACAUGCAAGUCGAGCGGGAACCUCAGGAGGGGUAACCCUCCUGAGGGGAGAGCGGCGAACGGGUGAGUAACACGUGGGCAACCUGCCCCGGACACCGGGAUAACCCAGGGAAACCUGAGCUAAUACCGGAUACUCCGGCGAGAUCGCAUGGUCGCGCCGGGAAAGCUCCGACGGUCCGGGAUGGGCCCGCGGCCUAUCAGCUUGUUGGUGGGGUAACGGCCCACCAAGGCGACGACGGGUAGCUGGUCUGAGAGGACGGCAAGCCACACUGGGACUGAGACACGGCCCAGGCUCCUACGGGAGGCAGCAGUGGGGGAUCUUGCGCUAAUGCGCGAAAGCGUGACGCAGCGACGCCGCGUGGGGGAUGAAGGCCCUCGGGUUGUAAACCCCUUUCGGCAGGGACGAAGCGAAAGUGACGGUACCUGCAGAAGAAGUCCCGGCUAACUACGUGCCAGCCGCCGCCGUAAGAC